AUUCUCUCAUGCUUCGCCUUGUACUGUGAUCUCCCAUUUCUAACUCCUGGUAACCUCUUACUUCCAGAUGUCAUUAGUGAUUCUCUAAAGCAACAUAUGCUUGACCCAGUGGUGACCAAGAGUCUCCAACCAGCUCUCUGACCUUGCUUGAGAAAAAUGUGAUCCCACCAUGACAUCAUCUGCCACGACGUGUCACAGUCAAGGGAGCCCCGCCAGAGGCUGAACACUUACACGUUGGGCCACUUUAUCUUGGAUUUUCAGCCUCCCAAAAAUGAGACGGGAUUUCACUAAGGCUCCAGAUUUUCUGAAAUGAAAUAUUGUAAGACAAAUAUGUCUGCAACAGAAUAUUUUGAGCAUUGCUUUACAUGAAAAGAAAGUCCAGAGAUUAAUGAGAGUCAAUAUAGCAUUUAAAAUUCUCUUGUGGCUUUUGACUAAUUGUCUUUAAAAAUCCUCAUUGUGCAGAAGUUAAAUCUUUCUCUGUCAAAUAAAGAGAAUCUGAUUAUUUUGAUGACAGAAGAUUUUACUAAUCAUUCAUUUAAGACACUAAUCCACAUAGUAAUGGGUUUAGGCAAUAUCUGUGCAAUUAUCAUUAAUUUAAAGGGUCAUUCGGACCAUCAAUGUUUAUGUAGACCAUCAUCAGAGAAGCUUUGUGGAAAUAAAUUUCUUCUCCAACCCACAAUCUAAUAAACCUCUUCAUCUGCCCCAUUUGUGAACAUUAUUUAAUUUAACAU